rnacentral:rRNA from 1 species
UACGUAGGGAGCAAGCGUUGUCCGGAAUCAUUGGGCGUAAAGAGCGCGUAGGUGGAUCAAUUAGUCUGCUGUGAAAGUCAAAGGCUCAACCUUUGAAUGCCGGUGGAUACUGUUGAUCUAGAGUACGGAAGAGGCGAGUGGAAUUCCUGGUGUAGCGGUGGAAUGCGCAGAUAUCAGGAGGAACACCAAUAGCGAAGGCAGCUCGCUGGGACGUUACUGACACUGAGGCGCGAAAGCGUGGGGAGCAAACAGG